UCUCCCGCUUCACCUCCCUGAGCGGGUGCCUUAAUCCAGUUAAGGCGUUUGACCCCGGGCUUUAUCCCCUUUAGCCCGGGGUUUUUUAU
rfam:Azoarcus aromaticum EbN1 complete genome